rnacentral:snoRNA from 1 species
GUGGAAACUAAAAUAAGAGUCCUUGAAGUCCAGCUGACUCUGUUUUAAGCCUUCUAAAUAAAACAGUAAAUCAAGCAAGUUUGCAAUAGAAACUUAAGGUCUAUUUAUUGACAAUU